GACGAACGCUGGCGGCGUGCCUAAUACAUGCAAGUAGAACGCUGAAGGAGGAGCUUGCUUCUCUGGAUGAGUUGCGAACGGGUGAGUAACGCGUAGGUAACCUGCCUGGUAGCGGGGGAUAACUAUUGGAAACGAUAGCUAAUACCGCAUAAGAGUAGAUGUUGCAUGACAUUUGCUUAAAAGGUGCAAUUGCAUCACUACCAGAUGGACCUGCGUUGUAUUAGCUAGUUGGUGGGGUAACGGCUUACCAAGGCGACGAUACAUAGCCGACCUGAGAGGGGGGUCGGCCACACUUGGACUGAGACACGGCCCCGACUCCUACGGGAGGCAGCCGUAGGGAAUCUUCGGCAAUGGACGGAAGUCUGACCGAGCAACGCCGCGUGAGUGAAGAAGGGUUUCGGAUCGUAAAGCUCUGUUGUAAGAGAAGAACGAGUGUGAGAGUGGAAAGUUCACACUGUGACGGUAUCUUACCAGAAAGGGACGGCUAACUACGUG
rnacentral:rRNA from 1 species